GGGACAGUUGUCAAAAUUUAUCCAUUAAGCUAGUAAUAUAAUGCAGUUUUCCUGCUGCUUUUGGUUAUGAGUCUCGAGCCUCUUUCUUGGUUCACGUAAUAGUCUUUAAUAUAAUGGGAUAAAUUUCAACAACUGUCCCUGAACUUAUAUAGUUGUAACACUACAGUUCUUUUAAGUUUAAAAUGUAACAUAAAACUCUCUAAACUUUCAAAUUUUGCACAGUAAAAUCUCUCUAACUUUCAAUUACUGAUUUU
rnacentral:misc_RNA from 1 species